rnacentral:rRNA from 1 species
UGGGCUAGAAUGUCACGUGACCGGUGGUGAAAGCUACUUUUAUAGCAAUAUACACGUGAUAAGGUGCUGCAUGGCUGUCGUCAGCUCGUGCCGUGAGGUGUUGGGUUAAGUCCCGCAACGAGCGCAACCCCCAUCACUAGUUGCCAUCAGGUAACGCUGGGAACUCUAGUGAAACUGCCGUCGUAAGACGUGAGGAAGGAGGGGAUGAUGUCAAGUCAUCAUGGCCUUUAUGCCCAGGGCUACACACGUGCUACAAUGGGGCGUACAAAGGGCUGCAACACAGCGAUGUGAAGCUAAUCCCAAAAAACGCCUCUCAGUUCAGAUUGCAGUCUGCAACUCGACUGCAUGAAGCUGGAAUCGCUAGUAAUCGUAUAUCAGCAAUGAUACGGUGAAUACGUUCCCGGACC